GGGUGGUAAGCACAUGUGGAUGUGCGAACGGCUGUUAACCGUGCGGUAGCGGGUUCGAGUCCCGCACCACCCG
rnacentral:tRNA from 1 species